AACUUUUGACAAUGGAUCACUUGGUUCUGGCAUCGAUGAAGAACGCAGCGAAAUGUGAUACGUAAUGUGAAUUGCAGACUCAGUGAAUCAUCGAAUCUUUGAACGCAUCUUGCGCUCCCUGGAAUCCCGGAGAGCAUGUCUGUCUGAGUGUUACGAAUCCUCGUCCACCCUGCGAGAUGUUCUUCUUGUUCAUCUCCGCGGUCGUGUCGGACGGAUCGUGGUCGCUGCCGGUAAAAAACCCCCCUUCCGGCUCGACUGAAAUUUAAGAGGUAUUACGCACCGUUGCGGCCUGAUCCAAUUGUAAGCUUUAUUUUGCCAUUGGAGACACCCGACACCGCGAACACCCACCACAAACCUUAGAUUCAUUUUAAGCUUUCGACCUCAGAUCAGGCAGGACUACCCGCUGAACUUAAGCAUAUCAAUAAGCGGAGGCU
rnacentral:misc_RNA from 1 species